rnacentral:lncRNA from 1 species
CCUAUAUAAAUACAUAAACCUAUUACCUUCCUUUCUUGCAUGUUCUGAAUUAGCUUAAAAACAGAGGAAAAUACAAUGAUAGUUUUUUUUUUUUUUCCUUUUUGCUUCGGAUUUUCUGCCACAUUAAUAAUUUUAUAUACCUCAUUUCAAUCUUAUAACCUUUUUGCUUCGGAUUUUCUGCCACAUUUUUUUUUUUUCCUUUUUGCUUCGGAUUUUCUGCCACAUUAAUAAUUUUAUAUACCUCAUUUCAAUCUUAUAACAGCCCCAAGAGUAUUCAUUUAGCUUAUUAACUUGACAUACAAUUCUUCGCUUCAUCAGAUUUUACAGUAAAAUUCAGCAUAGUUAAUUUCACCAAAUUUCUUUCUUUUUUUCCUCUUUUGUCCCUUUAAAUUCAUUGAGAGACAUAUCUCUACAUCCAAAGCACUAAGUCAACCGUACAACUACUCGAUAUAUGUUACCAUGUGUGUGUUUGUUUUAAAUUGCAUAAUAAAUGUUUUCUCAUAUUCCAGCAUACUUUUACCGAAGUUGCAGCACCUAUUUGUACACUAAGAAUGUAGUGCUAUUAUCGCUAUUACAAUUUCAUGAUCAGUGGUUAAAUAACGUCUUCUUCCCUUAAUUGAUCUUCACCAUUGAAUUCUUUAUGCCGUAAAUCGAACAGAGCAUAUCCAGACUGUUGUAAUGUUCUGAAAGCUUUUACUUCAACCACUGGCCUUUGAUGAAUAAGCACAAAUUCAAGUUGCAGCUGUCCUGCCAAGACUGACCCAUUGAGUCAUUUUAUCAAAUAGUUUAACGUUUCGACCAAACACCUUGUUUUAACCGAUAAACUAUACACAAGUUUGUUUUAACCAAUAAACUGUCAGACAAGUUUGUAGUUACGUACAUUAUGUAUAACUAAACUCGCCACAUUAUCAUUGGUUGAUUAUAUUAUUCUGAUGUACAAAAGAUUUUCUCUUAUUUUUCUUUUCUUUGUUCUUUCUAAGCUCCAAUUCUGUUUAUUCAAUUUUCAUUUG